rnacentral:snoRNA from 1 species
GUUUAUUUCUAGACCUGUAGCAGUUCAUGUCUGCUGCUAAGGUUUCCACGGCAGAUGCAAGAAAAAGAAGGUCCUCGUGCUUUCUGUCUGCCUGAUUGUGACAGCCAAGAUUGAAUGGGGGAAUACAGGA